rnacentral:lncRNA from 1 species
UUUUUUUUUUUUUUUUUUUAAUUUAUUUGAGAGAACAAGAGAGCAUGAGCACAAGCAAUGGGGAGAGGGAGAAACAGACUCUCAACUGAGCAAGGAGUCUAAAGCGGGGCUUGAUCCCAGGACCCUGAGAUCGUGACCAAAAGCAUCCACCAAAAGCACACACUUAACCAACUGAGCCACCUACGAGCCCACUUGGUGGGUUUUUAGGCUUUUUUUUUUUUAAGCAUCAAAACUUUCUUCAAAUGGAACAUUAUUUUGAACCAUAAUAUAUGAUACAGGUAAAGGUGGAGCUGUUCCGACUGUUGUUAGGGUUGGAGUGGAGGAAACAGAUUUAUGAAAGAAACCGUGUGCUUCUGGCCUCAUUUUAUACUUGUGGAAAUGGAGACCAAGAGGGGAUGUUAUUCUUCCUAUGGUCACACAACAGGUCCUGAGAGGCCAAGGUGUCAUUCUUUUUUUUUUUAAGAUUUUAUUUAUUUACUUGUUUGUUUGUUUAUUUAUGAGAGACAGAGAGGCAGAGAGACACGCAGAGGGAGAAGCAGGCUCCAUGCAGGGAGCCCAAUGUGGGGCUCGAUCCCGGGUCUCCAGGAUCAGGCCCUGGGCCUAAGGCGGAGCUAAACCGUUGAGCCACCCGGGCCGCCCAAAGGUGGCAUUCUUAGAGUUGUUUCCCUUAGUGUCUCUUGGUCAUAGGGACCCAGUUGUAAAUCUGACUAGCAGGCAUGAUACACCAAAGAUUUUCCAUCUCACAGGCUGCAGCAAAGGUGUUUAAGCAUUUCUUGCUUUGGAUGAACACUUGAUUUAGCUAUAAUACUGCCUUCUUUGGACAGUCUUGUGUGUAAAUCAGUGUUUUAAUGAACAGUCUAGUACAUCGUGGGGUAGCGCUCUAAGGGGAGUAGAGUUUGGGAAGUAGAACUCCUGAUCUCAUACAGUGUGCAUUUUCUUUCACUUUUCACUUGCUUUUUGUGGAGUGGCUAUAUUUCUAACCACAGUGUUUGAAAGUACUCAUUUCCUUAUACUCUUGCCAGUGUAGUGAUAGACAUUAGUUGUAACCCAUCUAAUGGGUGAAAAAUAAUAUCUCAUUUUGCAUUUGUCUGUUUACUAAAGAUAUUGUUCAUUUUUUAAUGUGUUUUGGUUGCUGAGCUAAUUGUAAAUUGAAUAUUCAUAACCUCUUCCUUUUUCCCUAAUGUGUUGUUUUCUUCUUUCACAGUCUAAGGUAUUUUAAGAUACAGAUUAGCACUGUCCAAUAAACUAUCUGUGGUGGUGGAAGUGUUCUGUAUCUGUGCUGUACAGUAAGAUGGUUACUAGCCACAUGUGGCUGUUGAACCUUAAAAUAUAGCUGGUGCAACAAAGGAAGCGGAAUUUUAAAUUGUAUUUGAUUUUAAUUUAAAUAGCUGCAUGUGGCUAGUGACUUUCAUAUAUGGAUAACAAAGAUAUAGAUAGUAAGGCUUAGCUUUGUGUCAGUCCUUUGUCUUCAGGAAGUUAUAGGACUUAAUACUCAACAUGUAUUUACUGUCUGCUAGAUGCUGUGCGCCAACAACAGGUGAAAGAUGAUCUCCGCUCUCAAGAACCUCACAGCCUAGUUGGGGAAAAAAGUAAAUCAAUGAUGCUGCAUUAGAGAUGAGCACAGACAAGGGGCAUCUAACCAGCAGAGUUAGCAGUUGCAAUUGGGUGGUGAUGAUCCAGGGGAAAAGGAGAAGAAGAGGCACCCCGAGAUCAUUCUCAGUACAAAGGCCGGAAGCAUGGAGAGCAUAGCCUGUCCCAGGGAUUGCCGGGAGUUGCACUUGAUUGAAACAGUGUAUAUUGGGAAUGGAGGAAAAUAAGGCCGAAAUGGCAGGCAAAGACUACCUACCAAAGGACUAAGGGCAUGCAUGCAUGUCUCAUUUAGGAAAACUUGCCGCUGCAGAAUGACAGCUGCCCUCACUUGUGGUAACUAAAAACCUGUGAGGUUCCCAGAAAAGGUAAGAGUAAAGCAGUUUCUACAGAGGAAAGCUAAUCAGUUCGGAAAAGUGUGGAAAAGGGACCAACGAGUGGCUCAGUGGUUAAGCUAUUGCCUUCGGCUCAAGGCGUGACCCUGGAGUCCCAGGAUCAAGUCCUACAUCAGACUCCUCAGGGAGCCUGCUUCUCCCUCUGCCUAUGUCUCUGCCUCUCUCUGUGUGUCUCUCAUGAAUAAGUAAAUAAAAUCUUUAAAAAA